rnacentral:sRNA from 1 species
GUCCUCGAGUUGUUGCGGGCAGAUGAAGUGGAUGUGGCUGUCGAAGGCGCCUGCGGUGAGGAUGCGCCCCUCGCCCGCGAUGAUCUCGGUGCCCGGCCCGAUGACGAUAUCGACGCCGGGCUGGGUGUCGGGGUUGCCGGCCUUGCCGAUGGCCGCGAUCCGCCCGUCGCGCAGGGCCACGUCUGCCUUGUAGAUGCCGGUGGCGUCCACGAUCAGCGCGUUGGUGACCACGGUAUCGGCGGUCCCUUCGGCGCGCGUCGCCUGGCUUUGGCCCAUGCCGUCGCGGAU